GAUGAACGCUAGCUACAGGCUUAACACAUGCAAGUCGAGGGGCAGCACGGGGUAGCAAUACCUGGGUGGCGACCGGCGCACGGGUGCGUAACGCGUAUCCAACCUUCCCGUUACUCUUGGAUAGCCUUCCGAAAGGGAGAUUAAUACAGGAUGGUAUCUGAAAUUCGCAUGUUCUUCAGAUUAAAGAUUUAUCGGUAACGGAUGGGGAUGCGUGACAUUAGAUAGUAGGCGGGGUAACGGCCCACCUAGUCUACGAUGUCUAGGGGUUCUGAGAGGAAGGUCCCCCACACUGGAACUGAGACACGGUCCAGACUCCUACGGGAGGCAGCAGUGAGGAAUAUUGGUCAAUGGGCGAGAGCCUGAACCAGCCAAGUAGCGUGAAGGAAGACUGCCCUAUGGGUUGUAAACUUCUUUUGUUUGGGAAUAAAAGACGCUACGUGUAGCGUUGUGCAUGUACCUUACGAAUAAGCAUCGGCUAAUUCCGUG
rnacentral:rRNA from 1 species